rnacentral:rRNA from 1 species
CAGUCGCCGCGGGAAUACGUAGGUGGCAAGCGUUGUCCGGAAUUAUUGGGCGUAAAGCGCGCGCAGGUGGUUUAAUAAGUCUGAUGUGAAAGCCCACGGCUCAACCGUGGAGGGUCAUUGGAAACUGUUAAACUUGAGUGCAGGAGAGAAAAGUGGAAUUCCUAGUGUAGCGGUGAAAUGCGUAGAGAUUAGGAGGAACACCAGUGGCGAAGGCGGCUUUUUGGCCUGUAACUGACACUGAGGCGCGAAAGCGUGGGGAGCAAGCAGGAUUAGAGACCCCCGUAGUCCCUGUCUCUUAUAC